GUAUUUUGGUACCUCUUACAUCUUGAAUCAUUAAGGCCAAAUUUUUUUUUUUAUUUUUUCGUUUUGUUGAUCAAAAUAUAAUCGGUUACAAUUUCAACAAUUUUUCUACAGCAAAACAGCAUCAUGUCGGCUCCAGUUCGUGGUAAUAAGGCCUCAAAGCUGAGGUCCGAGGAAAAAGUUGAAAAGCCUGCAUUCAUUGGACCUUCUUGGGCUCUUACUUCCACCCGAGGCAGAGCCUUUAAUCGUGGCUCCGAACCCACCAGUCGCGAUACCAGUCGCAUCCCGACCAUCCUUAGACCCAGAUCAAUCCCGACCAGUCGCAUACCUAUCCGCAGGCUAGC